UCCCUCAGGCCUCUUGUGAUUAAGCCCCCCAUGCCCCAGCCAGCCCUUCCCAGUCUUAUCAAAAAUGUAUUUGACACAUAUUAUUAUAUGGAGCCUCGGAGCGCUGUAUUGGCUCUAGCACAUCUCACCAGAGGCAGGUUCAUUACCCACAAACCAACUGGUGCCCAGAAGGACAGACUCAUGUUAUAUCUUAGCCUUCAGCUGAAAUACUGUCAGUGUCUAAACUUUAAAGAGCAAAGGGGGCUUCUUGACCUUUUCUUUGACCUCAGUGGACAACAACAGAGUGGUUUGUUUAUUCUAGAAUCUAUAAGUCUGGUUAUCCCCAGGGUGAACUUUUAGUGUGACAUAAGAAAGAAUGUAUGCCACAGAAAAAGAGAUUAGUCAGAAAAGAAAACACAACACAAACUUGGUCUAAAGGUCAGGGGUCAUGUCAUAAAGAAUCAGUAAAUAAAUGAAUGAAUGAACUGUAUACUUCUAAUGCUGUUUAGUUGUGAUCACUGGUGAACAUGUAGCUGUUUACACAUCUCUAAUGCUAAAAGUAUUUUCAUUUGUGUACCUGCUGAUACCAAUGUAGUACUUUUAAGGUUGGGUCUCAGUAAAUAUGCAUUGAACUGAAUCUCUGUGUUAUAUGUUUGGUACAAAUGAUAACUUUCUGCACAGCUGACACAGCCAGCAGAACAGACAGUGAGCAGAGCUUUAACGCUAACAGUGCUUUUCAAUGUAAAACACUGUCUUCUGCCUUGCAGUUAAUUAAGUGUCACUUAAACUGAGGAGCACUGUUGACAUCAGAUGAUCCGAUAACCUGGGGCAAAACUGUGAACCAUGUGAUUGAGGCCCAAUAUCUUUCCUGGACGCCAAAAAGAGACUGAAAAUAAUCUCACUUCUAUUUUCUGCAUUUAAGAUUUCCUGUGAGUGUAGCAUUCAGAUGGACGACCUGCCACUGAUAUUGUUUCUUUUCUCCAUUUAAAUUUGAACUAGAAAGAAAAGCAGAAAUCCCUGUCUGGCACUGAGACAAAGAGAUGAACUGAAAAGGGAGAAUUGAAAGAAAUCAGUGGGGGAGAAAGAGAGAGGGACAGGGAGAGAGAGACUCAGAGAGAAAGGGAGAGAGAAAGAGAGAGGGAGAGUCGUACUGACCUUUAGAUGAGUCACCGAGACACAGUGUCUUCUUACUUUACAGAACUGUUGCAGCUAGUUCAGAAUUACUUUUCCAUAACCUUUUAAUAACUUAUUUGACAAAAGUGUUGUUUAACGUCUCCAAAUUUCAACUAUUUUACCUUUAACUAAAAGCUAUCCUCCACACUUUCUGGCUUCAUGUGUUCUAUAAUUUAGCUCCUUCAGAUCAAACUGAAGGGACAGAAAGAAGACAACUGACGCCACGGCGUGGAAAGACACCGGACACUGGAGAAGUACUAUCACACGGCUCUUGGCAGUGGAGCAAAGCAGUAAAUGAAGUGCUUCAUGGAAGGGAAGCCUCACGGGGGUGAAGGAUUGUGGUUUCUCAAGGAUGGCCAGGGCAGUUCCCAUGACGACGAAUACCAACAUGACAGAGUGAUCACAAGAAUUAAGAUUAGCUGCUGCUGCUACUGGUUCUGUCUGGACGUGCCAAAGGAAGAAGGUGCGUGGCGAGUGAAUCUGUGGAAACCAGAGCUCUUUGCCAUAACACAAGAGGCUUAACAUCCAUUCACAGUUGUUAAACUGAAAAACAAUGUCUGACAAAUACAUAUAUAUGUGUACAGGUAUAUGUAUCAUAUACAGGACCAAACCACAUACAGAGACAAUGCUCUAAAAUGUGUUUUGAAGUAUGCAGUGUUUAAAUAUAUUAACCCCAGUGCAGACAAUGUUACCUGGGGAGGACGAGCAGCCCACUAGACCAUGUUAUUUAUAAAACCCCAGAGUGAGUAACGUCUGUCUCCUGAGAAGCGACAAUAAAGUUACUUCCAGUUCAGCACUGUGUCAGUGUCAUUAACAUAAAUGUCAGGAACAUAAAUCAUGGUCCUGACUGAAGUGAAACAGAGAGAAGACUCAUCUGUCAUGCACUGCUGACAGAGGAGGAAGCUUCAACACUGAGCCACAGCCCUACACUGUGUCGAUGUACUGGUGCAGUGGUCUCCAACCUUUUGUUUUCUCAGAGCUACUUUUACAAAAUAAAAAUGGCAGAGAUUUACUCAUGUUGUGGAAUUUAUUUUCAUAGCUCGA